GGCGGCGGUGCUCUCGAGUGCGGCGGCUCUCCAGUGAAGUUCGUGUUUUGGUGAUUCGGCUUCGAUCAACCUCGAUCGGCGGUCGGAAAUCUCCCCGGUGCGGCGGCGGGUGGCGGCGGCCGGCGUCUCCGGCGUCUGGUUCGUCUUCUCCGGCGAGGGCAGGCGGCUAGGGUUUUUGUGGUCUGGUGUGGGGGUUCUAUUUAUACCCUUUUGCCUUUUGAUCUCAGCCGUCCAUUUUGUUUUAAUCUAGGCCGUCCGUUUUUUGAUUAAAUCUGGGCCGUCCGUGCGAUUUCAUCUGGGCCGUCCGU
rnacentral:lncRNA from 1 species